UAAUCUAUAAGGCCCCCCCCCUUUUUAGGAUUCUUCCCAAAAUGAAUUAAUUAAAACCCCUUAUAAUUCUCCCCAGAAUUAUAAUUUUAACCUCAUAAUCUCAAUAUUCAUGUAUAUUCAAAUCAAUUAUUUACAUAUAAGCAAUUUUCCCUAAAAAAGAAAAAUUUUAAGAAUAAUACAGCUAAAUCUUUUUCUAUUCUAAAUUUAAUAGUAUUUCCUAUAAUAUUAAUUUUUUGAAUAUAAAUCCCUUAGAAAACACAUUCACCUUUAAAUUUGCAAUUUAAAAUCAUAUUUGAAUAUAAGGUUUAGAAAAACUAAGGAUUUAAGUUAUCUAAACUAUUAACCUUCAAAGUUGAAAAUAUUCCUUAGGUUUAAGCCUUAGAUUAAGUUUAAUAGGAGGAAAUUAACCCUUAAAUAAAUUUACAAUUUAUUACCUAAAUCAGACACCCUAUUUAGAUUUUAGUUAAUGAAAAAAUGGCUAAUAUCUACUAAUCAUAAAGACAUUGGAACCCUUUACUUUAUCCUAGGUAUUUGGUCAGGAUUUAUAGGAACCAUAAGUAGUAUAAUUAUCCGAUCAGAAUUAACUCAACCAGGAUCUCUAAUUAAAAAUGAUCAAAUCUAUAAUGUUUUAAUUACAUCACAUGCUUUUAUUAUAAUUUUCUUUAUAGUAAUACCAAUUCUAAUUGGAGGUUUUGGUAAUUGAUUAGUACCCUUAAUAAUUGGUGCACCAGAUAUAGCCUUCCCACGAAUAAAUAAUAUAAGAUUCUGACUUUUACCCCCAUCUUUAAUUUUAUUAAUUUCAAGAUCACUCACUGGAACUGGUUCUGGAACAGGUUGAACCGUUUAUCCCCCCCUUUCUAGAGUAACAUCCCAUUCCGGACCAUCUGUAGAUUUAACCAUUUUUUCUCUUCACAUCGCAGGGGUUAGAUCAAUUAUAGGUGCAAUUAAUUUUAUUUCAACAAUUUUAAACAUGCGAUCAAAAAAUAUUUCAAUAGAAAAAUUACCUCUAUUCUGUUGAUCUGUAUUAAUUACAGCUAUUUUACUCCUUCUAUCCCUUCCUGUUCUAGCUGGAGCAAUUACUAUACUAUUAACUGACCGAAAUCUAAAUACAUCAUUUUUUGACCCCACCGGGGGUGGAGACCCAAUCCUCUACCAGCAUUUAUUCUGAUUCUUUGGUCACCCAGAAGUUUACAUCCUUAUUCUUCCAGGAUUUGGAUUAAUUUCUCAUAUUAUUAUACAAGAAAGAGGAAAAAGGGAAACUUUCGGAUCUAUUGGAAUAAUUUAUGCAAUAAUUGCAAUUGGAAUUUUAGGUUUUAUUGUUUGAGCUCACCAUAUAUUUACUGUAGGUAUAGAUAUUGAUACCCGAGCCUAUUUUACGUCAGCUACUAUAAUUAUUGCGGUCCCCACCGGAAUCAAAAUUUUUAGAUGAAUCGCAACAAUUUACGGUUCCAAAAUGAACUUUUCCCCCCAAAUAAUUUGAUCAUUAGGAUUCAUUUUACUUUUUACUAUUGGAGGAUUAACAGGUGUAAUAUUAUCAAAUUCCUCAAUUGAUAUUAUUCUACAUGAUACCUAUUAUGUAGUGGCUCAUUUUCACUAUGUCCUUUCCAUGGGAGCAGUAUUCACCAUUAUCGCUAGAUUUAUCCAUUGAUACCCCUUAUUUACAGGUAGAAACAUAAAUAAUAAAUGACUAAAAAUUCAAUUUUAUUCCAUAUUUCUAGGAGUAAAUUUAACAUUUUUUCCCCAACAUUUUUUAGGAUUAACUGGUAUACCACGACGAUACUCUGACUAUCCAGAUAUAUACACCCUGUGAAACCUUUUUUCUUCUAUGGGUUCAUUCAUUUCCUUAAUUAGAAUUUUAAUAUUAAUGUUUAUUAUAUGAGAAAGAUUAAGAUUUAAACGAAAAAUGGUGUUUAAAACAAAUCAACCUCAAUCAAUUGAAUGAAAAAUAAAUUUACCCCCUAGAGAACACUCCUUUAAUGAAAUUCCUAUAUUAAUUAAGUUCUAAUAUGGCAGAAUAGUGUAAUGAAUUUAAAAUUCAUUUAUGAAACCAUAAAUUUCUUUUAGAAAUUUCAUGAACUAAAUUAUAUUUACCUGACGCCUAUAGCCCCACUAUAGAGCAAUUAACUUUUUUUCAUGACCACACCAUGUCUAUUAUUAUUUCAAUUACAACCAUAAUUGUAUUUUUAUUAAAUUCACUAAUUUAUAAUAAACUUAUUGACUUAAAUAUUAAUGAAAAUCAAGUUAUUGAAACUUGAUGAACUAUUCUACCAACAAUUAUUCUUUUCUUCGUUGCAAUUCCUUCACUUAAAAUUCUAUAUUCUAUAGAAGAACUAAUUAAUCCAACAAUUUCAAUUAAAUCUAUAGGUCAUCAAUGAUACUGAUCUUAUGAAUAUUCUGAUAAACUAAAAAAAGAAUUUGAUUCUUACAUAAAAUAUUCUAAAAUUAGUGACUUUCGACUAAUUGAAGUUGAUAACCGAAUAAAGGCCCCCUUCCUUACCCAACUACGAAUGAUUUUUUCAUCCUCAGAUGUAUUACAUUCCUGAACAAUUCCUAGUUUAGGAGUAAAAAUAGAUGCAAUUCCAGGACGACUAAACCAAUCAAGCAUAUUAAUUAAAAAACCCGGAUUAUUUACUGGUCAAUGCUCCGAAAUCUGUGGAACAAAUCAUAGAUUUAUACCUAUUAUACUUGAAUCUGUCAAACUAGAAAAAUUUGUAAAAUGAAUAAAAUAAAGUAAAUUAGUCAUUAAGUGACUGAAAUUAAGUAAUGGUCUCUUAAACCAAAUUAUAGUAAACUAAAGAAUACUCUUAAUGAGAGAAUUUAGUUUAAAUUAAAACCUUAAUUUGUCAAAUUAAAAUUACUCCAUUAGUAUUUCUUUAUUCCACAAAUGUCCCCAUGUAGAUGAAUAUCAAUCUUAUUUAUAACUAAUCUAACACUUAAAUUAAUUAAAAUAAACUUAUUUUUUGAAAAAAAAUAAUAAGAAAUCUAUUUUCAUCUUUUGACCCCAGUACACCUUCUCCAUUAUGAACAAACUGAAUUUCUUUAAUAUUAAUUUUACUAUUUAUACCAAAUAAAUUCUGAAUAUCAGAAUCUCGAAAUUCUAUAACUAAAUUAAUUUUAAAAAAUUUCAUUUUAAAAGAAAUAAGUUUCAUUUAUUUUAAUAAGCAAUUUAUAUUAAAUUUACAAACAAUUUUUAUCUUUAUCUUAACCAUCAACUUAAUAGGAAUCUCUCCAUAUACAUUUACCCCUACUAGACACCUUUCAGUAUCAAUUGCAAUUGGAUUACCCAUUUGAAUUUCUUUAAUGACAUAUAGAUGAUUGAACUUCACCAACCUAAUAUUUAGACAUCUUUUACCUAUAAGAACCCCCCCCACAAUAGCCCCAUUUAUAAUUAUAGUUGAAUCAAUUAGAAAUCUAAUUCGACCAAUUUCAUUAAGUGUACGACUUUCUGCUAAUAUAAUUGCAGGUCAUCUAUUAAUAACUCUUUUAGGUAAUAUCAAUGAAAUAAAAACUAUCAUACUAAUUGGAUUAAUACAAUUUUUUUUAAUAUUAUUUGAAAUUUCAGUUGCCCUUAUUCAAGCUUAUGUAUUUUCUAUUUUAAUAACUAUAUAUUCUUCAGAAGUUCCAUAUGAAAAAAAAUCAUCCGUUCCAUUUAGUAACUAAAAGACCUUGACCUAUUCUAGUUUCAUUUUCAAUAUUAAAUUUUUUAAUUGGAUUCAUUAACUUAAUAAAUGAAAGACCUUUAUUAUUUUAUUUAUCUAGAUUAACUAUAAUAAUUAAUCUAACUCAAUGAUGACGUGAUGUAAAACGGGAAUCUUCAAUUAAAGGUGACCAUACAAAAAUUGUUAAGGAAAUAAUUAAAAUAGGAAUGAUUAUAUUUAUUAUAUCAGAAAUUAUAUUUUUCCUAUCUUUCUUCUGAAGAUUCUUACACUCUAGACUUGCCCCUAGUAUCGAAAUUGGGAUAAAAUGGCCACCUAAGGGGGUAACCCCAUUUAAUCCUAUAGAAAUUCCCCUUCUUAACACUAUCAUUUUAGUAAGUUCUGGAGCCUCAAUUACAUGAGCCCAUCAUUCCCUUCUAAGAAAUAAGCUAAACCAAACAAUUAAAAGAAUGAUUAUUACUAUUACAAUAGGAUUAUACUUUUCUAUUCUUCAGUGGUGAGAAUAUAAAAAUGCACCAUUUACAAUUUCAGACUCAAUUUUUGGUUCAUCUUUUUUCAUAACGACUGGAUUCCAUGGAAUCCACGUAAUUAUAGGUACAAUUUUUAUUUUAACAGCCUUAGAAAGAAUUUUAAUAAUAAAAUCCAAUUACUUAAAUCAUAUUAGAUUUGAGCUUUCAGCCUGAUACUGACACUUUGUAGACGUAAUUUGAUUGUUUCUUUAUAUUAUUUUAUAUUGAUGAAAUAAAU